GAUGAACGCUGGCGGCGUGCCUAAUACAUGCAAGUCGAGCGAACAGACGAGGAGCUUGCUCCUUUGACGUUAGCGGCGGACGGGUGAGUAACACGUGGGUAACCUACCUAUAAGACUGGGAUAACUUCGGGAAACCGGAGCUAAUACCGGAUAAUAUUUCGAACCGCAUGGUUCGAUAGUGAAAGAUGGCUUUGCUAUCACUUAUAGAUGGACCUGCGCCGUAUUAGCUAGUUGGUAAGGUAACGGCUUACCAAGGCAACGAUACGUAGCCGACCUGAGAGGGUGAUCCGCCACACUGGAACUGAGACACGGUCAAGACUCCUACGGGAGGCAGCAGUAGGGAAUCGUCCGCAAUGGGCGAAAGCAUGACGGAGCAACGCCGCGUGAGUGAUGAAGGUCUUCGGAUAGUAAAACUCUGUUAUUAGGGAAGAACAAACGUGUAAGUAACUGUGCACGUCUUGACGGUAACUAAUCAGAGAGCCACGGCUAACUAC
rnacentral:rRNA from 1 species